rnacentral:rRNA from 1 species
UACGUAGGGUGCAAGCGUUGUCCGGAAUUAUUGGGCGUAAAGGGCUCGUAGGCGGUCCAUCGCGUCGGGAGUGAAAAGCUGGGGCUCAACCCCAGUCCUGCUUCCGAUACGGGUGGACUAGAGGUAUGCAGGGGAGAACGGAAUUCCUGGUGUAGCGGUGAAAUGCGCAGAUAUCAGGAGGAACACCAAUGGCGAAGGCAGCUCACUGGGACGGUAUUGACGCUGAGACGCGAAAGCGUGGGGAGCAAACAGG